rnacentral:rRNA from 1 species
AGUGAACGCUGGCGGUAGGCCUAACACAUGCAAGUCGAACGGCAGCACAGUAAGAGCUUGCUCUUACGGGUGGCGAGUGGCGGACGGGUGAGGAAUACAUCGGAAUCUACUUUUUCGUGGGGGAUAACGUAGGGAAACUUACGCUAAUACCGCAUACGACCUACGGGUGAAAGCAGGGGAUCUUCGGACCUUGCGCGAUUGAAUGAGCCGAUGUCGGAUUAGCUAGUUGGCGGGGUAAAGGCCCACCAAGGCGACGAUCCGUAGCUGGUCUGAGAGGAUGAUCGGCCACACUGGAACUGAGACACGAUCCAGACUCCUACGGGAGGCAGCAGUGGGGAAUAUUGGACAAUGGGCGCAAGCCUGAUCCAGCCAUACCGCGUGGGUGAAGAAGGCCUUCGGGUUGUAAAGCCCUUUUGUUGGGAAAGAAAAGCAGCAGGUUAAUACCCCGCUGUUCUGACGGUACCCAAAGAAUAAGCACCGGCUAACUUCGUG